AGUGAACGCUGGCGGUAGGCCUAACACAUGCAAGUCGAACGGCAGCACAGUAAGAGCUUGCUCUUACGGGUGGCGAGUGGCGGACGGGUGAGGAAUACAUCGGAAUCUACUUUUUCGUGGGGGAUAACGUAGGGAAACUUACGCUAAUACCGCAUACGACCUACGGGUGAAAGCAGGGGAUCUUCGGACCUUGCGCGAUUGAAUGAGCCGAUGUCGGAUUAGCUAGUUGGCGGGGUAAAGGCCCACCAAGGCGACGAUCCGUAGCUGGUCUGAGAGGAUGAGGAGGCAGCAGUGAAGAGAGACAAGGUCUAGACUCAGACGGGAUGCAGCGGUGGGGAAUAGGGGAAAAGGGCCGCAGGUGUGAUCCAGCCAUAGGGCGUGAAGGAAGAAGGCCUUGGGGAUGUAAAGCCAUUUUGUUGGGAACGAAAGGCAGCGGGUUAAUACCCCGCUUGUCAGAAGGUACCCAAAGAAAAAGAACAGGCCAACUUAGGG
rnacentral:rRNA from 1 species